rnacentral:rRNA from 1 species
UACGUAGGGAGCAAGCGUUGUCCGGAAUCAUUGGGCGUAAAGCGCGCGUAGGUGGCCUCAUAAGUCCGCUGUGAAAGUCAAAGGCUCAACCUUUGAAAGCCGGUGGAUACUGUGAGGCUAGAGUACGGAAGAGGCGAGUGGAAUUCCUGGUGCAGCGGUGGAAUGCGCAGAUAUCAGGAGGAACACCAAUAGCGAAGGCAGCUCGCUGGGACGUUACUGACACUGAGGCGCGAAAGCGUGGGGAGCGAACAGG